AGUGCAGAGUCACUGAGCUGUUACUGAGUCUGAAACAUUCAACAGGACUCUUCUUGGAUGCGACGCUUAGCCAACAAUACUGCACAGUAUUCCAGCACGAGACUCCCUCACAGCUGCAAACUUCUCACCAGGCGGAGCACUGCCCAUAAAGGACAAAACACUCCUGCUUGAGUGUGUGAAACUGAGUACAGGAUGAGGCUUUCUGUUCUUCUGACGUUCCUCUUGGCUCUGGCUCGCAGCUCUGGCUCUGGUUCACGCUGUAAGGAAAACUGGACAAACCAAAAAGGCUACAGUGAAUUCUCAGAAAAGCACAUUCUGUCAAGGGAUAUUAAAGGAAACCUGAAAGUAAAAGAACUAAAUAACAUAUUUGAAAAAUACCUACAAAAACAAGAUCUCUGUGGAAGAGUAGAUCUGCAGACCUUCUUUAGACGGACUGACAGAAAGAGAGUUGAAAGCAUCUGUAAUGGUCAAGGCUUUGCAGAAGGUUUUGGAAAUCUGUGCAUCAGUGAGCAGAAGUUCACUGUUUACAUGGUGGAAAGCAGGAAAGUGAAAAGUGGUUGUAAAAUAAAUAGAAUUAAUGUUGAGACCCUGUAUGUGGUUGUUGGCUGCGGAAAGGUUAAAAACAAAUGUCUGCCUGUUCACUUUCAUAAUCAGACCUAUGUGGCACCAAAAUCAAAUGCUGCUCGCUGUAAACCGAAGCAGCUCAUUCAUCCUGCACCUAAACACAAAACCUUCUUUUGGUUCUAUUUCUCUUCUUUCAUGCUUCCCACUGCUGGAUAAAAGUCUCUGCUACAAGAAUCUAUGCUAAUUAUAUUUCAAGAAGAGCAUAGAACAUUUAAAGACUAAGCAUUUGCAUAUUUUCCUGCCGUUAUUGUGAUAAUUUUAUAAAGUUCCUCUUAAUAAAUUGUGACCAUGUUUGAAGAUCUUCACUGAAAAAUCUGAAUUGUGAAUUUGAAAGCGUGUGUGAACAUUCUGUACACAAGAAACUGAAAGAUUUUGCUGGAUUUAUUUCACUGUGAGCUUUUUGCUUAAAGCUAUAGCAUUAAAAAUUUUAAUCAUCU